AGAAGUAUGACACCAUUGGAGAUGACGUCAAUAAAAUAGAUUCACGAACUCGAUGGUCUACUCCAGUAGUAAGGGAAGCAACGAUUGUUAAGACAAUGAGAGUUAAAUCUGACGGACUCGUCUCCCCUAAUUUUGAUGCACUGACCAGGGACAUUGAGUACGUAACCCCGGUGCAUGUGGAGUAUAAAAUCAAUUUUACUCUGCCAGAGAAGAGUGGUACUAAUCAAGUCUUAGUAACAAGGAAACAAGAAGGAAAUGUGUAUGAUAACCUCAACAAGACAGACAAGACAGCAGGUCAAACAAGCAAACAAGCCAGGAGGUCUCUUCCAAACCAUUAUACCUAAAUUACCUUUUGUACAAGCACAAGAGGUUAACGCAUAGAGUUACCUUUUAGAGAAAUUCAGCACCCGCCAUUUUUACUUUUGCUAAACGAAGAAGUCCACUCAAUCAUGUUCUCAUGUUGAUAAAAACAUUCAUCGCUAUUGAAUUCUUAGCCUCGUUAUGAAAGCGCGGGAUUUUUUUUUUUGGUUCGUCGCCUACCGUUUUGAAUGAACGCAUAAAUAUUUGUUACUUGAACCCAUAAACUGGACAUAACGUUUGUCACGUGAUUCCCGUGAGUUCAUUAAACUGGUUUGAGGCAUGUUAAAACUGUAUGUUCUUUAUAUGCAAGAGCAUAGAGAUCCCAGGGUUCCUCUGAAAUUGAAAACUCAAAAUCAUCAGGAGAGAAAUGUGCAAGACAACUUGGAAGACAACCUCGGUAGACAACCUUGAACCUUGGUAGAC
rnacentral:sRNA from 1 species